GCUGUUAGUUUCCAGAAGUUGCUGCCUCAUGGGACAAGAGCCUCUCAGUGAAUAAGGUAUGGGGACUUGGCAAUUCAGGGUUGAACACAGUUGGUAUGGAGGAAGAGAAUUCUUAAGGAGAAGAGGGAAAUUCUCAGUCAUAAUAAUAUGAUACAAGAAGUGGUUUUUAACUCUCAAGGCACACACCAGCAAAUAAGGCAUGGUUAGAGUGAACUGCCUCCAGUGCCGAGAUUAUUCCAAGAUGGCUUAUUUUGUGGUUUCUUCCAUCCUUAUAUUUGCUGACCCUUUGCGGCCGGGAUUUAGUUUGUUCUUUUGUAAUGUUCUGUCUCAUCUCUGAACAUCUUAACUAGAUGCUGGGAAUUUGAAUGCAGAAUGUAAUUGUGUAAUAUUGUUUGAUGUAGAAAAGAUCAGUUUGUUUCCCUGGAAACAAAUGCCUUCUCAUUUGUAAUGCACCACCACCUGAGCGCCAGCAUUCUAACUAAUGGGAGCUCCCACUCUCUGUUGCUAAUUGCAACUGUGGGAGAUGGUCCAGGAUUGCAGAGGGCGUGCUGUAAUCCCAGUUGCAAACACAAUCCCACGUUUAUGUUGUUUUAAAAUUUUAUUUUUAAGACAUGUAUUUAUGGGCACCUAAUAUUUAAGUCUUAAGCUGUUACCUGGGGUUAAUAACAAGACUAGGGUUGAGCAAACAGUGCUUGGUUCUGGUUGUGCAUUCAAGUUGCAAGCAUUUGGUGGAUCAGGACUAUCUCUGUAUAAUAGCAGAGAUGGGGAACCAUUUUCAACCUGAGGGUCACAGCACCAUAUGCCAUUGGUGGAUUAGACCAGAGGCAAAUGUGAACAGAGCGACAAAUGUGAAUUUUACCUUUGCACAGUAGGCUUGUUCCUACUCGCAUGCUACUCUCUAUCCUCCAUCCAUGCAAGUGAGAAGCAUUAUUGGAGUUGAGGGGCACAUUCCAGCCAGGCAAGAACCCUCAUGGAGGUUGUAAAACAGGGCCAGUGAGGGUGUGUGGCCUGGAUAUAGUUCUUUGGGCUAGACAGAGAGGCCUGGAGAGCCACAUACUAUCGAGUGGCCCAGUUAGACCCCUGAAAUUGUGUGUAUCAGGUUGCUGAGAGAAGUAUAUUGUGGGGUGUGCUGAAUGAGCUCAUAACAGUGCCUCCCGAAAUCAAAUAUACUCAUUCAUGUCUCUAAGGCAGGGUGAGGAACCUGUGGCCCUCCAGAUGUUUGCCUGUGCCUGGAGUAGAACCUAUGUUGUCAGUUGCGCGUGGGCUCUAGUCCACAAAUUUCUGGCCACAACAGAGCAGUUAGCCCCUAAGUUCCACAGACCUUUGUUAUUCUUAAAAAGAUGGAGACAAAUCAGCUUUUGCACAACCUCACCAGAAUUCCUUUUCAUUUGACAAGGAGACUGCUUGGUACCAAAGCAGCUACUGGAAUUUGAAGACUUCCCCUCCUACCUCUUGCACUGCACUCCUGAAGUCUUUGAGGCACACCGUGAAAUGGAGGCAGCCCUCAGGUUUUAAAUGUCAGUGCUGUCUUUACAGCAGCUCUAGAUGAUGGAUUUGUCUCCCUGGCAGUGGGAAGGGCCUUGGCACUGCCAGGGCCUGAUGAGUAUUGUGGAGCAUUGGCGUUUACACAGCCGUUUGCUGACUCAUGGACAGAAAUUGACAGAGAGCAGCUGCCAGAAACUUGUUUUCCAGACCAAUUUUCUUGUUACUUAGAAAAUGUUACCUUUUAAGGAUGAGUAAUAGGGAGAGAGUAUGUGUUUGUGUGUCUGACAAGCAAGGGAGAAAGAGCAAGAAGGAAAGUGAUAAAAAUGUAAUCCAAAACAACCUGAUUGAAUUUCAAGUUAGAUAGCUCUAAGUAUCCAGAGGCAAGUGUGUCCCUAUGUAAUCUUCAUACGCAUGUUCCAUAUUAACAUAAAUGGGUCUAUGUCACUUGAAAUAGUGUUUUCAUUUGCCAAGGAAUCUGGUGGUAGGGGUGGCUUGUGAGUGAAGCAUAAGUGUUUGUAUGUGGGCUGUGUACACACAUAGCCUUUGAAAUGCACUGAGGGUUAUUCACAACACGCCUUUGUGCAUAAUGGUUUGCAGUUGUACACACCUUUAUGAAAUCCAAAGUAGUAGCUCCUAUCUGCGUGGUUUAUACACACAGGUGGGCAUGUUUUCAAAGUAGCAUGCAAGCUAAAGGUAAAGGUAAAGGGACCCCUGAUUGUUAAGUCCAGUUGCGGACGACUCUGGGGUUGCAGCACUCAUCUCGCUUUAUUGGCCAAGGGAGCCAGCGUAUAGCUUCCGGGUCAUGUGGCCAGCAUGACUAAGCCGCUUCUGGCGAACCAGAGCAGCACACGGAAACGCUGUUUACCUUCCCACCGGAGCGGUACCUAUUUAUCUACUUGCACUUUGAUGUGCUUUCGAACUGCUAGGUUGGCAGGAGCAGGGCCCGAGCAACGGGAGCUCACUCUGUUGCGGGGAUUCGAACCGCUGACUUCUGAUCGGCAAGCCCUAGGCUCAGUGGUUUAGAGCACAGUGCCACCUGCAUCCCUGUAGCAUGCAAGGGUGUCCUUUAUUACGCUUUCCCUCAGUUACUGUUUGUACAUACCAUUUUUUAAGGUAAUAAUUUUUCAGUUUUUCCAAAUAGAGGGGCUGGAUACUGGUGUGUUGAUAUAUUGAUUUGAAGAGGGGCAGGUAAGUUACCACACUCUCUGUGGACAAAUUUGUGCAGCAAGUGCUUGAGAAGUGUUUCAGCAGAGUAUUCCUUAGAUUGACAAAUAGUGUGGGGCAAGGAUGACAUGGGGAUUAUACUAUGUUUAUGGCACCCCCCAAACGUUGCCUGCAACCACCCCUGAAUGUCCAUUAUCACACAGUGUGUGCAUGCCAUUAAGUUACCAGCAGUGUAGUUUAAUUCGUGCUCAGGUCAAUAGGGCUUUGGUAUUAUUAAAUUUACCUACAUAAAUGCAUUCAGUUGUCCAAGUUAUGAAACAUUUAUUUUUUCAUCAUCGCCCAGUGAAAGAACCUCUCCCAGCUGCAUUCUUUCCUUGCUUAUUUAUUCUGAUAGCCUGGCCAACGUCAACAGGCCUUUCCAAGUGAAGGCUCUUUGCUCUGGGGGUUAAACCUUUUUCUUUUUAAUACUUUGCUGGUGCCAGCACAGGUGUCUACAUAAAUAGUUCUGGCGGAGGAGCCGGUUGUUGACUACUGCAGUCUUUAUACUACUGAACCCCACGCCCCAUUACAUGUGAUGAAAAGAAGCAACGAGAAACGAUGUUGGGCUGUGCCUCUUGGUGAUUUACUGUAUUGCAUGGGAUUGUACCUUUCAGAACUAACUUCAAACGAAUUGUAUUAUUUGUCCAGUUAGCAAUAACCGGGUAGGAUACUAGAAAGACAUAGAGCUUCAAUUUGAACAACAACACUGCAGCACUCUCAACCAAAUUAAAAACAACAACAACAACCCUAAGGCUGAGUGCCACACCUUUGGCUCAGAAACUGCCUUAGCUAUGAUGGUGAAUGCAAGUCAUAAGGUUUGAAACCAGCAGACUUUUUUUUUGUUAAUGCUUGUCUGUCCAUAACAUAAGGGAAAGUAGAACACAAUGUGAACCAUUUUAAAAAUGAAAACUGGAGGCUUCAACACUCUUGGCCAAAACAGUUAGUUAAUUAUUUAUUUUAGAAAUUUCUCCUUUGGGAGAGAUCUUCAGCUUUUCUCUGUGGACACUCAGCAAACACCAUCUAGACGAUCAGUUUUCACUCAUGGUUGAAUGUAGCCAUGUUUUCACACUGCACAAAGCGCUAAAGGAUUGUUCAGUUGUGUGUGUGUUGUAACUGGAGAGAAAUUGGGAGGGUGGCCAUUUUAAUAGCAGUUUGGUGUGCUCCAGUAGUUCAAUAAGGUUCAUAUUGUGAGAGAUUUGCAGUCAAACCUAACAAUGCUAGGCUGUAUGUGACUACAGAGGACUACAGAGUUCUAAAUUUCUAGAGUAGGCUCAGGAAUGUCACAUCCCCUCUUCUCCUGAGAGGAAGUAAGUAAGGCUUGUAUCCUGUUUCUGUUCUCUCUCACACACAUUGCAUGUGAUGGAGGCAGCCAUGCCUCAACAUAUCUCUCUGCCUCAGGAAUAUAUCUGAGGCUGCCUUCAGUGUAUUUUUCAACUAAGAACAUUUACCUGCCUAUUAUCACUGCUCCUAAGGACAAUGCAUAACUGUAAGUAAAGUAUAUUUAAAACUUACUUCAUUAUGUGGUCUGCUUCUCUGCAAGAGGGAUAAAGGGGGUCAGCUAUACCUCAAGCAGCUGGAAAGUAUUAAAAUAAGUUUUAAAAGCCUAUUCCUAUGCUUCACUAAUAAUUGGAUUUAAAUUCUGCUACUGUGGCUCUUUAUGUGCAAGCCCUGUGUUUUUAGAAACAAGCACCAACUGUUUUUCUUUUGUUUCCCUAUCCCACACAUGUGGAUCUGUAGAGUAUUACGGUAAAUAUAAUUAAUAUAUCCUGCCAGUAAAUAAUACCCAUUAAAACAUGUUGCAUAUGUCAUGCAAUGAUGGGUGAUAUUUAUUUGGUAUGUCUUUCUGCCCACAACUCUUACCAAGUAGCAGAUUAAUCCCUAAAGUUUUCAGAUUUGUAAAGUUCCUGAAUAGAAUGGACAUGAACUUGAAACUUUUUUUCUUCAGUGUGAUAUAUCUGAGAUGGAUGUAGUUUCAACAAACUGUAAGCAGGUUGGUUUUCUUCCCUGAAACAAAUCCUCAGUGAAGCAAUCAGUUAAUCCAGGUAAGGCGUGUAGAUGAACUAACAGAUUAGUUUGAAUGAUUGGCAUGGUUCAUUAGCCUAACCCUUGAGUUGCUCUACUGUACUGUUCUCGUGUGCUUUCAUUUCCAUUACAUUUAACUUAACAGAUUACAGAGCUUGGAUGAUUGGCUCUAGCAGAAAAAUCCAAUUGCUAUUUAAUUUUGAUGGCCCUACACUGAGUAGAACUUCGUUGGAUACUACCCUUUAUGUCCACCAUGUUUCAAGUGAAGGUGAGGCAGAGCUGUAGGUCUUUUCCAAUUUAAGACCAGCACUGUGGGAAGAUCAUCUUUUUUGACUUCACAAGUAAUUAUCCAGGAGUGAAACUUAGGUAUAAUGUGCAAGUCACUACUGCUUCUGCACAAAUACCAAUACUCACAUUUACAAGGCUGGGAAGACAAGCCUUUGUUCAUGUAAGCUAAAGAGUAAUGCUCUUUUCAAACAGGACCAAAACUUAUAAAAACUGAACUUUAAGCAGUGGGCAGUACUCCAGCAAGCACUAGAACGCAGAGCGAGUCAGACAGCUUUCUUACUUAGACCAUUACAGCUUGCCUCUAGCUAUUUUGUGGGUAAGUGAAGCGUCUAUGAAGAGUCUUCUUUAAUCUAGAUGGGUUGUCGCAUAAAAGAGAAUUCAGCAUAGCGCACAUGGCUCAGUUCACAACAAUGCAGUUGUAAUUGUAACCAAUUUAGUUCCCUUCGACCUAGUGGCCUAUAUCAAAAGCUCUGCUUAUCUAGGUUAUGAAUUGCAGUGUUAAGACUGGAAGAAGCCAUUGUGCAGUUUGUAGCUAGAAGCAGUGAUAAGGAGACCAAAUGGCUAGAAGCAAAGCAGAAACCAUCACUAUGAUUUCCAACAGUAGUAAUAACACUUUCCGUUUGAGUGAAUUCUGCCAAGAGUAUUUACCUGAACAAAAAUUACAGUCCUUCCUAACAAAUGACAAUUUCAUUUCCACAAUUGAUGAUCUUAGUACAUGGAUAUCUGUGAUCCCUUUCUCCAAACCUGAGCUCAGCUUUGGGGUGGGGAAAAACCUUUUGCAACUGGCCCAUCUCUGAUGGGGCAUGACCCCACGAGACAUGUCCAGAUGUUUAGUCUGCCAGGCAGGGCCUGCCCUAAAAUGAAUACUGCCCACACCUCCAUGGCCAGCUCUUCAGGGCCACUCAGAGUGUUUAUGGGGCCUGGUGGAGAUGUGAUGUUGAGAACCCCCUACAAGGACCUAUGCAGGUGUGUACAAAGCUAGGGAUCACAUGUUAGAAUUAUUGCAUGCACAGGUUAUAUGUGAGAAUUCUUGCUCUGAAAUUAAGCAGAAUGAUAGGUGUGCUUCAUUUUUUUUUCUUACAUGAGGGAUCAGGUUGUGCUUCUCCUGAGCGCCUCCUUCAGUAUGUAGUUCCAAUGCCCUUUGGGCAGACCUCAGUCUCACAGGUCUUCUGGUUGUGGCCUGCUGCUGGCCUUCUCCACUACAGUGGUGCCUCGCAAGACGAAUGCCUCGCAAGACGGAAAACCCGCUAGACGAAAGGGUUUUCCGUUCUUGAGUUGCUUCGCAGGAUGAAUUUCCCUAUGGGCUUGCUUCACAAGACGAAAAUGUCUUGCAAGUCUUGAGAUUUUUUUUUCCGCUUUCCCCCCCUUUUUCUAAGCCGCUAAGCCGCUAAUAGCCUUUUAGCAGCUAAGCCGCUAAGCCUUUAAUAGCCGCUAAACCGCUAAUAGCGCUAAGCCGCUAAUAGGGUUGCUUCGCAAGACGAAAAAACCGCUAGACGAAGACACUCGCGGAACGGAUUAAUUUCGUCUUGCGAGGCACCACUGUACUCACUCAGUAAGGCCUCAUGGAUUUGUAGGCCUAUAUUCUUUAUUAUGUUCAGCUCACACACAAAAUGGCUCCUGCUACAUUCUGUCCUCAGCUCUGUCCUCAGCUACAUGAAGUAGGCUCUCCAUCGAAGUGAUAUAAUUGGUCUUUAAGGGACAUGCUACAGUCUCCCAGACUGUAGCUGCUUCUUCGGCCUUCUUCCCUUGCUGCUUUUUAAAGAAAACUGAAAGUUGUGUUGCCCCAAAAUAUAGAGCGGCAGUAACCGCAUGACCAAGUCAAGCAAUUGCCUUGAACUCCAGUCAGUUUUGUAGCAUUAUUUAGGCUGAUAUCACCAUACUGUUAACUGCAGCGAGGCAUAUAGUAUAAGUGGGGCAUUUGUGUGAAUACCUGUAGGAGUUCUCAAUGAGAACUGUCUAAAUGAUCCAAUUUCCAUUAAUGUAGAAGAUGAGAACUCUGCCUCUCAUGAGACUCCUGCUGAAACAGUAAAAGAGAAGGAACCCCUACUAUAUGUACCUAUCAACAAUAUUUCUCAUUCUACAUACAUAUUUCUCAUUCUGUGGUUUCCAGUGGGCCAAAUGAAAUUGAGGAUAUGGCUUUUCCUCGAAAACAAAUGUCAUUUUUCAAAAGCUUAUUGCUGAAAGGGCUUUAGAUAAGCUGAAAAGGUGCUGGCUUGUCUAUUCUAAGAGUGCCAGCAAGGAUUUUUGCUGCUUCUGCAAAACAUUUCCAGGUGGUGCCACUGCCACUGCCAGUUCUUCGCUUGGGAGUAUCAGGACCAAUGACUGGAAACACUCUGAAACAGCACAAAAAGUCAUCCAAGCAUUUCACUUCAUUCUGCAACUGGAUAGAAACUGAAUCUUGGUCGAGGCUGAACCAGUGCAUUGAUGCAGAACAUCAGCCGAUGAUAAACCAAGAAAUUCAGCAUUGGAAGGGUGUGCUCAAAUGCCUAAUGGAUAUUCCACGGUCCCUGAUGGUGCACGAUUUGGCAUUCCAGAGAUUUUCGGAGAAGCUGUUCAGAGGCAACGGAAUAUUUCUGUUGUACAGUUGCUUGGCAAGUAAAAUGAAGAAAUGGAGAACAUUUGUGGUGUGUAUUUUCAAAGGAGCGUAAUGGUCACUGCUGUGGGAACACUAUUCAGAAUGAACCAGUAGCCCCAAGGAAAUGUUAGAGAACAUACAGAACAGAUUAUUCUUCACACUGGAUUGCAUAUCUUAAUGUAAAUUGCUCUGAAAAAAUGUCAUUCACAAGUGAGAUUUGCUGAAGAUGGGGAAGAUGGGUAAAUGAACAGUUUGUAGUACUGUUUAUUCUUAUGAAUCGGGGUGGGGUGGGGUGCAGGACACCCUAAAUUCUGGAUUAAGCUGCUGUUAGAAAUUAAUUAAGGUUUGGAGAAUUAAAACCAGAAAAUAGUCAGACUCAUGUGUAUUUAGGAUAGACCCAUGUGUAUCUGAGCUGUGCUAGGCUUUGCUAAUCCUUUAAUUAAGCCAAGUGUCGAAAGCCAAUUAAAUCAGGACUAGCCUCCUGCAUGAGGUGGGUUGUUAGCACAACAACCGAUCAACGCGAGUGGGGCCUACAAAAAACCAGGGGUUAAGAACAGAG